GCUGGGUGUGGUGGUGCAUGCCUGUAAUCCUAGUGGCUCGGGAGGCUGAGCAGGAGGAUCACAAGUUCAAAGCGAGACUCAACAACUUAGGCCCUAAGCAAUUCAGUGAGACCCUGUCUCUA
rnacentral:sRNA from 1 species